GACGAACGCUGGCGGCGUGCCUAAUACAUGCAAGUCGAGCGAAGUUUUUCUGGUGCUUGCACUAGAAAAACUUAGCGGCGAACGGGUGAGUAACACGUAAAGAACCUGCCUCAUAGACUGGGACAACUAUUGGAAACGAUAGCUAAUACCGGAUAACAGCAUUAACUGCAUGGUUGAUGUUUAAAAGUUGGUUUUGCUAACACUAUGAGAUGGCUUUGCGGUACAUUAGCUAGUUGGUGGGGUAAAGGCCUACCAAGGCGACGAUGCAUAGCCGACCUGAGAGGGUGAUCAGCCACACUGGGACUGAGACACGGCCCAGACUCCUACAGGAGGCAGCAGUAGAGAAUCUUCCGCAAUGGGCGAAAGCCUGACGGAGCAACGCCGCGUGAGUGAAGAAGGAUUUCGGUUAGUAAAACUCUGUUGUUAGGGAAGAAUGAUUGUGUAGUAACUAUACACAGUAGAGACGGUACCUAACCAGAAAGCCACGGCUAACUACGUG
rnacentral:rRNA from 1 species